rnacentral:misc_RNA from 1 species
AGCAGCCGCGGUAAUUCCAGCUCCAAUAGCGUAUAUUAAAGUUGUUGCAGUUAAAAGCUCGUAGUUGAAUUUCGGGGUUAGCAGGUCGGUCGUGCCAUCGGUAUGAACUGGUCUCGCUGAUCCCACCCUCUUGACGAACUGUGAUGCCAUUAAUUUGGUGUCGCAGGGAAUCAGGACUGUUACUUUGAAAAAUUAGAGUGUUUAAAGCAGGCUCACGCUUGAAUACAUUAGCAUGGAAUAAUGAAAUAGGACGUUUGAUCCUAUUUUGUUGGCUUCUAGGAUUGACGUAAUGAUUAAUAGGGAUAGUUGGGGGCAUUAGUAUUCAAUUGUCAGAGGUGAAAUUCUUGGAUUUAUUGAAGACUAACUACUGCGAAAGCAUUUGCCAAGGAUGUUUUCAUUAAUCAAGAACGAAAGUUAGGGGAUCGAAGACGAUCAGAUACCGUCGUAGUCUUAACCAUAAACUAUAGCCGACUAGGGAUCGGAUGAUGUUAAUUUUUAUGACUUCU